GACGAACGCUGGCGGCGUGCUUAACACAUGCAAGUCGAACGGUGAAGGGGAGCUUGCUCCCCGGAUCAGUGGCGAACGGGUGCGUAACACGUGGGCAACCUGCCCCAGACUUCGGGAUAACUUAUCGAAAGGUGAACUAAUACCGGAUAAUACCCCGAUAUCUUCGGCAAUCGGGAUCAAAGAAUGCCUCUGCUUGUAAGCUUUUACUGAAGGAUGAGUCCGCGUACCAUUCGUUAGUUGGUAGGGUAAUGGCCUACCAAGGUUAUGAUGGUUAGCUGGUCUGAGAGGAUGAUCAGCCACACUGGAACUGGGACACGGUCCAGACUACUGCGGGAGGCAGCAGUGAGGAAUAUUGCGCAAUGGGGGCAACCCUGACGCAGCAACGCCGCGUGAGUGAGGAAGGUUUUCGGAUUGUAAAGCUCUGUCGAGCGGAAAGAAAUGCAUGAUGGCUAAUAUCCAUGAUGCUUGACGGUACCGCUAAAGGAAGCACCGGCUAACUCCGUGCCAGCCGCCGCCGUAACAC
rnacentral:rRNA from 1 species